UACGUAGGGUGCGAGCGUUGUCCGGAAUUAUUGGGCGUAAAGAGCUCGUAGGCGGUCUGUCGCGUCGGAUGUGAAAGCCCGGGGCUUAACUCCGGGUCUGCAUUCGAUACGGGCAGACUAGAGUGUGUUAGGGGAGAUCGGAAUUCCUGGUGUAGCGGUGAAAUGCGCAGAUAUCAGGAGGAACACCGGUGGCGAAGGCGGAUCUCUGGGCCAUUACUGACGCUGAGGAGCGAAAGCGUGGGGAGCGAACAGG
rnacentral:rRNA from 1 species